ACUCUCUUAUCACAGCUCAUCCUGUGUCUCCUUACAGAGGGAGUCCAGCCUCACACAGGAGCAAGAGAGGACCGGAGCAACGAGCUGACGACUGCAGUCUCUGAAGAUGAAGUGACCUACAGCACAGUGUUCACCAACACACAGUCAUCAUCACACAGAAUAAGUCCACAUCAGUCACAGGUUGGGUAUUGGUUGGAUUUCCAUACAUUUGUAAAGUGCCUUUGCAGAGAAUCGUACUGUUAUUAUUCAGUCUCAUCUCAUCCUACAUAUCUUUAGAGAUCCUGUAUUUCUUUAAAAUCAUUCUUUAUUUCUUUACAGUACAAAUAGUUUGAUUGGCAAAUAUUACACUUGAUUAUAAGAGAUGAUUAAUGCGCCUUUGUGCCUCUGUGGCGAUACCACUUUUCUGUACUCCUGAGAGUAACUGAUAUUCUCCACUCUUCACCACUCUGGAAAAGAGCGUCUGUAAAUGAUUGUCAUGUGAUGUAAUGUAAACUCAAAACAGGAAGUCAAUGAGCUCACAGGCACUAAAUGCUCUCAAACAGCUUUGAAAAAAAUCAUUCAUUUUGAGGGAAAAUGGUCCAGAAUGUUUACGAGUGAGUUCAUUUAGUGUGCUCUCCUCUGCUCUGGUAGCACGGACAGGGUUGGUGUCAGUUCUACUUUCUGUUCAGUCAGGCAAUGACAUUAAAUUCAUUCAUUAAAAAAAAAAAAAUGUGAUUAAAUGGUUUAUGUAUCGAUUCAUUGGAUAAUCCUCAAUGGGGCAUUUUUCACAAAAUGAACUUUGACUGAAUUAACUGAAUUAACUUCAGCAGACCCCCCAACCGUGGUCAGUCACAGAAACAUGUUCCCCUUUACUGUCCCAGCCGUCUGAAAACCCUGCAGAUGAGGUCCUGUACAGCUCAAUCAUCCUGAAAAAUCUACAGACCACACACUCGUCUCACCGUUCUGCAGCAGAUAGAGCCGGUGAUGUGAUUUACAGCUCAGUUGCCGGGCAGAAAACACAGUAGGGGGCAGCAACGUGACGAAAGACUACAUCCCAAGUGGAAUUUUGUCCACAAGCUCAAAGGAAGAGGCCUGGGUGUUCUGGAACCUGAGGAUUCCUAUUUCAGAGCAUCAAAUACAGCCAGUCACCCCAUUACAAAUAUUUGACUCUGCUUUUCCCUGCUGGACAAAAAAAGACACCAUCAUUUUCCUAACUUGAAAAGGAACCAUUUUCUCAAAGAUUAGGUCACAGUAAAACUCAAGACUCAAGACCAGUCAUCAGAAAAUGUACUGCAGCUAAAAUUUCAGAUGUCGUAAAAGGUUAAUUAUGUAAUUAAGGCCAGAAGUUGGUAUGAAAUCCAGAAAUGGAUAUGGCGCUCUUUGCCCACCUCUGGAAUACAUAAAUAUUAAAUAAUAAUAAUAGUUAUCCUGCUCUGGCCACUGAGAGAGCACAGACUACAGAGUACGAGGGACCAAAGAGGUGGGGACUGAGAGGAACAGGAAGUGAGACUCACGCUAAAGGGAGCUGGAGUCUCUAACAGACACACACACCCGUCAGGCACAUAUGGCUCUCACUCUGAUACUCUUCCUCUCCAUCCUCUUCCUCACUGUGCUGCCAGGUAGGACUCGUUGCUCACACUGUAUACUGAAAUCUGGAGCAUUGUAGCAGAGAGACUGUCUGUGCCAUAAACUUGAAUGAAUGAGUUAAACUGAAGAUUGUAGUUUGCAUCUUACAUAAUAGGACUAAUGUGAUUAGAAUACACUCAGUGAGCACUUUAUUAGGAAGACCUGUACACCAGCUUUUUAAUGCAAAUAUUAAAUUAGCCAAUCUCAUGUGGCAGCAACUAGAUGCAUCUGUUGUCAAGGUUCAGCUGUUUCUCAAAGAAAAUGUCAGAAUGAGGAAGAAAUGUUGGUGCCAGACAGAGUGGCUUGA